rnacentral:tRNA from 1 species
UCCCUGGUGGCUCAGAGGUUAAAGCGUCUGCCUUCAAUGCAGGAUACCCGGGUUUGAUUCCUGGGUCGGGAA